rnacentral:rRNA from 1 species
UGUUAGUUCAUUUAGACAGCAGGACGGUGGUCAUGGAAGUCGAAAUCCGCUAAGGAGUGUGUAACAACUCACCUGCCGAAUGAACUAGCCCUGAAAAUGGAUGGCGCUAAAGCGAAUGACCGAAGCUCAGCCAUUUGCGUAAAUGCGAUGCGCAAAUGAGUAGCAGGGCGUGGAGGUCUCUUAUGAUCAGUCGCUUGCGAUUGAUUGAGGUAACGAAGCUUGAGGCGUGAGCCUGAGUGAAACGGCCUCUAGUGCAGAUCUUGGUGUUAGUAGCAAAUAUUCAAAUGAGAACUUUGAAGACUGAAGUGGAGAAAGGUUCCAUGUGAACAGCAUUUGGACAUGGGUUAGUCGAUCCUAAGAGAUGGGGAAGCCUUGUAUCAAGGGUGCACUCUGCACGAGCAUCGAAAGGGAAUCGGGUUAAUAUUCCCGAACCUGGUAGUGGAGAUUGGGCCCUCGGGCCCCAGUGCGGUAACGCAACCGAACUCGGAGACGCCAGCGUCGAUCCCGGGAAGAGUUCUCUUUUCUUUGUUAGGAGCGGACUCCCUGGAAUUGGCUUGUCCAGAGAUAGGGACGUUGCAUCCGUAAAGCGUCGCGCCUCACGCGGCGUCCGGUGCAUCGGCGUUGGCCCUUGAAAAUCCGAGGGAGGCAGUGUGAUUUUCACUCCAGGCCGUACCCGAAUCCGCAGCAGGUCUCCAAGGUGAACAGCCUCUGGUCGAUAGAACAAUGUAGGUAAGGGAAGUCGGCAAAUCCGAUCCGUAACUUCGGGACAAGGAUUGGCUCUGAGGUGCGGGCUGCUUCGGGUCGCGGCAAGAAGCGGACCGCGCGUCGGUAGGACUGGGCGCGCGAGCGCUCGGACCGCCGCCGGCGUGCGUCCGUGGGAGGCCGUGGCUUUCGCCGGCGCUGGUCCUCGGGCCGGCGUCGGCUUCGUUCGGCCUAAACGCACAGCACAGAACUGGCACGGACUCUGGGAACACGACUGUCUAAUUAAAACAAAGCAUCGCGAUGGCCGCUGGCCGGUGUUGACGCGAUGUGAUUUCUGCCCAGUGCUUUGAAUGUCAAAGUGAAGAAAUUCAACCAAGCGCAGGUAAACGGCGGGAGUAACUAUGACUCUCUUAAGGUAGCCAAAUGCCUCGUCAU